ACCUAGGCUUCGGCCUAGGGGAAAGCGGCGAACGGGUGAGUAUCACGUGGGUAAUCUGCCCUCGACAUCGGGAUAGCCCGGGGAAACCCGGAUUAAUACCGAAUGGCCCAUCCGCUCUUCGGAGCGGCUGGAAAAGGUAGCUUCGGCCUCCGGUCGAGGAGGAGCCCGCGGCGGAUUAGCUUGUUGGUGAGGUAAUGGCUCACCAAGGCGACGAUCCGUAGCUGGUCUGAGAGGACGAUCAGCCACACUGGGACUGAGACACGGCCCAGACUCCUACGGGAGGCAGCAGUGGGGAAUCUUGCGCAAUGGGCGAAAGCCUGACGCAGCGACGCCGCGUGCGGGAAGAAGGCCUUCGGG
rnacentral:rRNA from 1 species